rnacentral:rRNA from 1 species
GUGAACAAUUAAGGGCGCGCGGUGGAUGCCUAGGCUCUCGGAGGCGAAGAAGGACGCGAUAAGCCGCGAUAGUCCACGGCGAGGUGCAAGUAACCCUUGACCCGUGGGUUUCCGAAUGGGGCAACCCGGCCGUCUAGAUGACGGUCAUGCAUUAUCAUGCAGGCGAACGCGGGGAACUGAAACAUCUCAUUACCCGCAGGAGAAGAAAACAAAAUGUGAUUCCCCCAGUAGUGGCGAGCGAACGGGGAAGAGCCCAAACCGGUAGCGUUUCGGCGAUACCGGGGUCAUGGGACCACGCCAUUCGAAACAAGAUGAAGUGCAAUUACCUGGAAAGGUAAGCCGCGGAGGGUGAUAGCCCCGUGCACGUCAAUUCUUGUGGAGAUAGUGGAAUCCCGAGUAGGGCGGGACACGAGAAAUCCUGCCUGAAUUCGCCAGGACCUCCUGGCAAGGCUAAAUAACCCCGAGAGACCGAUAGUGAACCCGUACCGCGAGGGAAAGGUGAAAAGAACCCCGAGCAGGGGAGUGAAAUAGACCCUGAACCCGCGCGCCUACAAGCGGUCGGAGCCACGCGAUGUGGUGACGGCGUGCCUUUUGCAUAAUGAGCCUACGAGUUAGUCGUCACCAGCGAGGUUAAGGGCUUCAGGCCCGUAAGCCGAAGUGAAAGCGAGCCUUAACAGGGCGUCAAGUUGGUGGCGCUAGACGCGAAACCUUGUGAUCUACCCACGAGCAGGUUGAAGUCGCGGUAACACGUGAUGGAGGACCGAACCGGUAAACGUUGAAAAGUUUUCGGAUGACUCGCGGGUAGGGGUGAAAGGCCAAUCAAACUGGGAAAUAGCUCGUACUCUCCGAAAUGCAUUUCGGUGCAGCCUGUGAUGUUCUGUUCCAGAGGUAGAGCUACUGGUUGGACGCGAGGGCUUCACCGCCUAUCAAAUCCGGAUAAACUCCGAAUGCUGGAACACGAAAUCAUGGAGUGAGCCCGCGGGUGCUAAGGUCCGCGGACGAGAGGGAAAGAACCCGGACCACCGGCUAAGGUCCCGGAUGGACAGUUAAGUUGAUCAAACGAGGUGGGAUCGCCGAGACAGCUAGGAUGUUGGCUUGGAAGCAGCCAUUCAUUUAAAGAGUGCGUAACAGCUCACUAGUCGAGCGAUCCCGCGUGGAUAAUACACGGGCAUUAAACUGUCAACCGAAGCCGUGGGGUCAGUGUUGAACUGACCGGUAGGAGAGCAUUCCUGCCAGCGUUGAAGGUCACCCGCGAGAGUGACUGGAGCGGCAUGAAAAGCAAAUGUAGGCAUAAGUAACGAUAAUGGGGGCGAGAACCCCCCACGCCGCAAGACCAAGGCUUCCCCGGCAAUGUCAAUCAGCCGGGGGUCAGCCGGCCUCUAAGGCUAACCCGAAGGGGGAUGCCGACGAGAAACGGGUUAACAUUCCCGUGCUUCUCGUCACCGUGACGCGGUGACGGGGUGAUGAAUGGACCGCGCGCUGACGGAAUAGCGCGUUGAAGGCCGUACCCUUCGAGGGUGGUAGUCAAGCACGCCACCCGAGGCGAUAGCCGAUAGUACCACGAGACUCCGGUCGAGUGGAUAGCGUCCAGGCAAUUUACCCCCGAGAAAACCCGCUAAACUUCAAGUGACGAGGAACCGUACUGUAAACGGACACACGUGGUCGGGUAGAACAUACCAAGGCGCUCGAGUGAUUCAUGGUCAAGGAACUAGGCAAAAUAGUCCUGUAACUUCGGGAAAAAGGACGCUCUAGUGAUAGAGCCGCAGAGUAAUGGCCCAGGCGACUGUUUACCAAAAACACAUGGCUAUGCCAAAUCGAAAGAUGACGUAUAUGGCCUGACACCUGCCCGGUGCCGGAAGGUUAAGAGGAGAGCUCAUCGGAAACGAGAAGGUUUGAAUUGAAGCCCCGGUAAACGGCGGCCGUAACUAUAACGGUCCUAAGGUAGCGAAAUUCCUUGUCGGGU